GACGAACGCUGGCGGCGUGCCUAAUACAUGCAAGUCGAGCGAAGUGGAGGAAGCUUGCUUCCAAAGCUUAGCGGCGAACGGGUGAGUAACACGUGGGCAACCUGCCUGACAGACUGGGAUAACUUGGGGAAACUCAAGCUAAUACCGGAUAGGAUCGCGAACCGCAUGGAACGCGAUGGAAAGUCUGAACGACACUGUCAGAUGGGCCCGCGGCGCACUAGCUAGUUGGUGGGGUAAUGGCCUACCAAGGCGACGACGCGUAGCCGACCUGAGAGGGUGACCGGCCACACUGGGACUGAGACACGGCCCAGACUCCUACGGGAGGCAGCAGUAGGGAAUCUUCCACAAUGGGCGAAAGCCUGAUGGAGCAACGCCGCGUGAGUGAUGAAGGUUUUCGGAUCGUAAAGCUCUGUUGUUAGGGAAGAACACCCGGGAGAGGAUCCCGGUUUGACGGUACCUAACGAGAAAGCCCCGGCUAACUACGUGCCAGCAGCCGCCGUAAUAC
rnacentral:rRNA from 1 species